rnacentral:tRNA from 1 species
GGAAAUAUGGCUGAGUGGCUUAAAGCGCAUGCUUGGAGUGCAUGUAACACAAUAGUGUUCAUAGGUUCGAAUCCUGUUAUUUCCU